rnacentral:rRNA from 1 species
AGAGUAAGCUACUUGCUCAAAUCCCGCUCGGCCAACCGUACGACAAUGAAGAGGACUUCGCACCUUCUGUCUAUCGGGAUGGACAUCCGUUCGAGCAUACGUAUGACGAGUUGGCGCAAGCAGUCAUUAAACAAAUAGAAGGGUGAAUCGGUGAGAGAUGAAAGUACAAGGUUUUUUACGUUUGUUUUGGACAACGCUCGUAUUCGGGACGUUGUUCGGGUUCCUGAUGAAUUUAUUGGCGAACCCGGGUUAUUUGGUCAGUCAGUCCUGGGAGGCAAUUGUCACGGCGCUUAGUUACUCGAGUACAUGGACGGGGAUCAGCAUGAUGGGCUUCUUUGCCUAUUUGAUUAUUCAUCGGGUCGGACUCGAUUUAUUUAGAGGGCCACGUCUAUGGAAUCGCGUUCAAGUGUUACUAAUCGCAUUUGCGAUUUUUGAUGCCGUCUACUUACGGAUGCUCGCAUUCGGUAAUGAUCACAUGUGGCGUUAUAUCGGUGAGAUGCUUGUGUUACUCAUUGUCGCUUGGGUCGUUGCUGCGAGUAAGGCGAAACAAACAAAUAGGAGUGCUUUCAUCCCGACACUUUUCUUAAUGACUGUCAUUACGUUAAUUGAAUGGAUUCCAGCUCUGCAAACAACGGACGAGAUUCCAUUGCUCUGGCCGGCACUAGCCACAUUGGUGUUUGCGAACGCUUAUCAGGUAUUAAUGCUUCAUCGCUUCCAACAGACAGGACAAGCGGUUCAAGUCGCUUCACCCGAAGUUAGAAAGAAAAAAACGAAGAAACAGAUGUCGUCUAAAUCAUCGUAAAAAGUAAAUGGUUGUGUGGAUAAUCCGAAGUGUUUUGGGUGAUCCGCCAACCAUUUUUUAUUCAUUUCAACAAAACAAAGAAAAAUUAAAGUUUUUUUAGAAAAAUAGUUGACGGUUUUUUAGGAUGCUGAUAUAUUAAUAAACGUCGCUGAUGUUGUUCACGAAACAAACUUCAGGAAGCGAAAAAAAUAAUAAAAAGUGGUUGACUUUAAUAAGUCAAAUCGCUAUUAUUAAAAAGUCGCUAACACGACAACGAUUGGUCUUUGAAAACUGAACGAUGAGGCAAAAAUAAGUUUUACAAUUUUUGAAUGAAGCGCAAGCUUCGUCAAUUUAAGAGCUAUAUCAAAUUCUUUGGAGAGUUUGAUCCUGGCUCAGGACGAACGCUGGCGAGUAACCUGCCCCUGACUCUGGGAUAAGCGUUGGAAACGACGUCUAAUACUGGAUAUGAUCACUGGCCGCAUGGUCUGGUGGUGGAAAGAUUUUUUGGUUGGGGAUGGACUCGCGGCCUAUCAGCUUGUUGGUGAGGUAAUGGCUCACCAAGGCGACGACGGGUAGCCGGCCUGAGAGGGUGACCGGCCACACUGGGACUGAGACACGGCCCAGACUCCUACGGGAGGCAGCAGUGGGGAAUAUUGCACAAUGGGCGAAAGCCUGAUGCAGCAACGCCGCGGGAGGGAUGACGGCCUUCGGGUUGUAAACCUCUUUUAGUAGGGAAGAAGCGAAAGUGACGGUACCUGCAGAAAAAGCACCGGCUAACUACGUGCCAGCAGCCGCGGUAAUACGUAGGGUGCAAGCGUUGUCCGGAAUUAUUGGGCGUAAAGAGCUCGUAGGCGGUUUGUCGCGUCUGCUGUGAAAUCCCGAGGCUCAACCUCGGGCUUGCAGUGGGUACGGGCAGACUAGAGUGCGGUAGUGGCGAUUGGAAUUCCUGGUGUAGCGUUGUAAUGCGCAGAUAUCAGGAGGAACACCGAUGGCGAAGGCAGAUCUCUGGGCCGUAACUGACGCUGAGGAGCGAAAGCAUGGGGAGCGAACAGGAUUAGAUACCCUGGUAGUCCAUGCCGUAAACGUUGGGCGCUAGAUGUAGGGACCUUUCCACGGUUUCUGUGUCGGAGCUAACGCAUUAAGCGCCCCGCCUGGGGAGUACGGCCGCAAGGCUAAAACUCAAAGGAAU